rnacentral:rRNA from 1 species
UACAGAGGUCCCAAGCGUUGUUCGGAUUCACUGGGCGUAAAGGGUGCGUAGGUGGCCAGGUAAGUUCGGUGUGAAAGCUCGGAGCUCAACUCCGAAAAGGCAUUGAAUACUAUCUGGCUGGAGGGUCGGAGGGGAGACUGGAAUUCUCGGUGUAGCAGUGAAAUGCGUAGAUAUCGAGAGGAACACCAGUGGCGAAGGCGAGUCUCUGGACGACACCUGACACUGAGGCACGAAAGCCAGGGGAGCAAACAGG